GUCAAUGUGGUGUAGUGGUUUGAGCACCAGACUAUGGUUCUGGAGAUCAGGGUUCGAUUCCCUGUUCAGCCA